GUGGUUGUAGCUCAGUUGGUUAGAGCGCCUGAUUGUGGUUCAGGAGGUCGGCGGUUCGAGACCGCUCUUCCACCCUA
rnacentral:tRNA from 1 species